ACAUUGAUAGCUUAAAACAUAGAGCAUAGCACUGAAGAUGCUGGGGUAGCAAUUAUUGCUUCAAAGUA
rnacentral:tRNA from 1 species